rnacentral:miRNA from 1 species
CGGGUGGGGUGGUGGGCG